UAAGCACCAUCGAAAACCCGCCGAGAGGCGUGGAAUUCGGAUCUGGGCCUGCGAGGGGGUUGGUGGACAACAACAGCUCCCGCGCCGGCCUGAAAUAGAGUCGCGUCGCGCAACCAGGUGGAGAGGAGAGGACGCGGGGGAUCAAACCUCGCUUUCCUCCGAUCCCCAACGUCAAAGGCGUCAUAGUUGGCCGCACCGUGGUCAUCUUUCGCCGAUGUUGGUGGUGGCGACGGAGGAACCAAACCCCAUUUCAAAG
rnacentral:misc_RNA from 1 species